rnacentral:rRNA from 1 species
GACGAACGCUGGCGGCGUGCUUAACACAUGCAAGUCGAACGGAAAGGCCCUGCUUUUGUGGGGUGCUCGAGUGGCGAACGGGGGAGUAACACGUGAGUAACCUGCCCUUGACUUUGGGAUAACUUCAGGAAACUGGGGCUAAUACCGGAUAGGAGCUCCUGCUGCAUGGUGGGGGUUGGAAAGUUUCGGCGGUUGGGGAUGGACGCGCGGCUUAUCAGCUUGUUGGUGGGGUAGUGGCUUACCAAGGCUUUGACGGGUAGCCGGCCUGAGAGGGUGACCGGCCACAUUGGGACUGAGAUACGGCCCAGACUCCUACGGGAGGCAGCAGUGGGGAAUAUUGCACAAUGGGCGGAAGCCUGAUGCAGCAACGCCGCGUGCGGGAUGACGGCCUUCGGGUUGUAAACCGCUUCCGCCUGUGACGAAGCGUGAGUGACGGUAAUGGGUAAAGAAGCACCGGCUAACUACGUG